UGGUUCAACCUCCUCAUGAGCAGUGGAAAUAAUUAGUAUCAUAAUUUACACGUCUCCAGAGCCUUUUGUUUUGAGGUUCUCAAAGGCCCUAGAAGAACAUUUAAUUUCUAAAGUUUACAGUGCCCCGGGGAGCAGGUAGAAUUACCAGCCAAGGCCUUGGGUUAGCCAAGGCCUUAGAUUCCAGAAUGUUCCAUGGUAAGUCCCAAGGUGAUCCCAGAUGUCAAAUCCUAGAGUUGGCUAUGAGAUCUGUCCAGCAGGCCAGUGCCCUCUGUCUGCAGGAGAGUUAGAGGGCCAGAGCACUUUGGAGAACCUCAUAGACAGGUUCUUUCCAAAAAAACACUAGAGGCCCCAGGACCAUCCACACAUGUACCGCUCCCUAAUAGAGCUAGUCUUGUGCUGCCAAAAUGCUUUGGCUGUGUGGUGGCAGGAGCUCCAGGGGACAUCGCUUUCCCUCUCUCCUCAUCUUUUUCCACCUGGGCAAGCACAGCCAGGAGGCUGGCUGUCCUUCCUGCCUAUUUAAAGCUCACUUGGAGCCAAGGUUCCUCUGCAGUCUCUGGCACAGAUUGGCUCACCUUGGGUGGACCCAGGGAGUCACAGUCUGUACCCCUUACCAUGAUCUGCUGCCUCGUCGCUACAGCCAGGCUUUCCAUCAUCCUCAGCUGGCUCAGUCACAUCUCCAGUCGCCCACCAUCACCCACCUGAGGCCCUUCAAACCUUUUCCAUUGGCCUCAAGCCCCACACUCAACCUCCUCCUUUACUGAAGAGAUGGAGCCCUCUGAAAUGAGAUCUGUCCUCAAAAUGUCUCUUGGGCUCUCCCCUCACCCUUCACCUUCUUCCUCCCAUUUCUGAGGAAGUAAGGUUCCUUCUCUGGCCAGAUGUGUUUUCUCUCACCCGCUCCCCCCACCCUCUGCCAUCUCUGUCCCCUGUAUGUACCAGCAUGUGAUCAUUGCACACAUCCUGGCUCCUGUAGCCUGUUCACUCACCUCCCUUCACCACCAGACCUGGGCAGGGCCUCCAGCACCCACUGCUGCCCUUCCUCCUGACAGUGUGCCUCACCUUCCACAUCUAGCCCACUCUGAGGCCAAUGUCUCAGCACCCUCCAUGUUGCCAACUUGAAAGGUUACUUUUCACCAAAAAAAAAAAACCUAGAGUGACCCAUCCUGGAUAGUGCCUGGCAUCAAA
rnacentral:lncRNA from 1 species